GAGCCUAGAAAUAAUAUAAUCAGUUAUUUUUUAAAGGUCAUUUUAACUCAGGAUAAAAAUGAAUUUAAAUGACUUUAGAAUAGUGCUGGGAAAUGGGUUAUGGAUUUUUUACAAAUAAACAAUGUGGAGAUAAUGGUUACAUGGACUAGGAUGGUGGCAAUCAAGUUAAAGAAAACUCCAUGAAUUAAAGAAAUACUUAGAUAUGAAGUUCAUAGGAUUGUUAUUUGAAUAGCCAUGCAAGCUAAAUGUAAAUGAGGUAUCAAAGAUGAUGUCAGGUUUCUGAUUUGUAAAAUUGAGUUGAAGGUAGUGCCUUUUGCUAAGACAUGGAUCACAGAAUACCAAGAUUCUUGAAAAGGAUUAAAUGUUCACAUCUGGACAAGUUGAAUUUGAAUUGCCUGUGAAGCCUUCACAGAUGAAAAUGAAUAUGGUAGCCUAGUACAGAUCAGGGCCUCAAGCUCAAGAUCUGAAUUAUAUCCUGUGUGCAGAGAAUCGGCUUCACCUUUUCCUUUUGAGAAGCAAUCACACACAUGACACAACUCUGAAGGACUAUUUUUUCAAGUCACUUUAUGUCUUCUUAAUCGCAGACAUUGGAGGAUUGAUAGAUAGAGCUGGU
rnacentral:lncRNA from 10 species